rnacentral:lncRNA from 7 species
AAAUAUUUAACUCAGUUUGAACUUUUGUUUGGAACUUCACAAUUCAGAAUAUUAUUUUAGUAUAAAUAAUGCUUCCACUGGUUGCCAUAACAAUAUUUAUCAUAAUUACUCUUAUUAUUAUUUUCCCACUCUUUUGUUUCUAUGUAUAUAAUUUCUUUUCUAGAGCCCAAUUUCAUGUAAAAAUUAGAUUUGUUUUAAUUGUGAAUUUUGAGUUUUAAUGCAC